CAUGCAUGAGGCUGCUGUCGCCUGUCUGUCGAAGUCAAGUUCAAAGUCAGCAUUUUUUGAUGGAUUGUGGUUGUUAAGUAUGGGGAGACAGAUUAAGAGAGUAGUAUGUGCUAUGUCUGGUGGCAUUGAUAGCAGUGUAGCAGCUCUGCUGCUGAAGCAAAAAGGUUAUGAAGUGCUGGGCUUCUUCAUGCGCAACUGGGACAUCCGGGAUGAGCAGGGUGUCUGCAAAGCUGACCAGGAUGCAGAGGAUGCAGCCUGGGUCUGCAAGAAGUUGCAGAUCCCAUUCCAGGAGGUCAACUUCGUCAAAGAGUACUGGAAUGAUGUAUUCAUUGAGAUGAUUCGCGACUACGAGUCGGGCAUCACGCCCAACCCGGACAUUCUCUGUAACCGGCACAUCAAGUUCACGGCUCUGCUGGAGCACGCGCGGCACACUGUGGGGGCUGACGCGCUGGCCACCGGACACUACGCGCGCACCUCGGCGGGGGAGUUCGCCACAGAAUACUCCGGCCAGCAGGUACGUUUACUGAAAGCCGUGGACCGCCUCAAGGACCAGACGUUCUUUCUGUCACAAGUUCCGCAGAAGGCUCUGCGCCGCACCAUAUUUCCUCUCGGCGAGUUUACAAAAGAUGUGGUCAAGAAGAUAGCGAGCAGCGCGGGCCUGGAGCGGAUAGCGGCCAGGAAAGAGUCGAUGGGGAUCUGCUUCAUCGGAAAACGGAACUUCAGCGAGUUUAUAGCUCAGGUGGGUGCCAGUACGUGGACCCGCGGCCCGGUAACUUCGUGGACCUGGAGACUCGGGAGGUGGUGGGACGCCAUAACGGAGUCCAUCAGUGGACCGUCGGCCAGCGCUGCAACAUCGCCGGGCUGGCGCGCGCCUACUUUGUCGCCGAGAAGCUCACCGAUUCCGGAGAUAUUCUGGUGGCUCCCGGCCACGACCACCCGGCUCUCUACUCGUCUACAGUGCACGCCGGCCAGCCGCACUGGAUCCACAGCCCACCCGAGGACUUCUACGGACGGGGAAUGCUCGAGUGCGAGUUCAAGUUCCAGCACACCGAGGCGCUAGUACCGUGUGUGGUGACCAGUCGUACCCACAACCCGUGGCACCGGUCACCCAGCAAGAACGACCUAACCGUGUCACUGGCGAACCCCCUGCGCGCCCUAACCCCGGGUCAGUUCGCCGUAUUUUACCGGGGCGACGAGUGCCUGGGCUCGGCCCGGAUCCUCCGGCCGGGGCCGUCCCAGUUCGACCUGGACGUGGACAGCUGCCGCACCAAGCGACGCGAGAGCUGACAAACCGGUGAGCUAGC
rnacentral:misc_RNA from 1 species